GGGGGAUUCAUAUACGCAUACAGUAUAGUUAGUGAAACCUGCCCGCUGAUCUAAAAUAAAAUUUAAUAAUAAAGAUUGAAGGGCCGCGGUAACUCUGACCGUGCUAAGGUAGCAUAAUCAAUCGCUCCUUAAUUGGGGGCUAGUAUGAAAGGAAUAACGAACUUCUCCCUGUCUCAAGUACAGGCCAGUUGAAAUUUAGUACUUCGUUAAGACGCGAAGAACCCUUGAUCAGACGAGAAGACCCCGUCGAGCUUUACUUUAAUCUAUUUUCAAACGUGUCUUAGUUUAAAGGCUAAAAAAAGAUAGGGAAAAAGUUUAGUUGGGGUGACUUCCCGAAACAUAGAAACUUGGGUGAACAAAGGUGUGAGUUAAAUCAACUAGCUUUACCGAGAAGAGGACACUCUGUUCGGUCACUAAGAACCGUGAGUUUUAGCUACCCGUCUUUUAUGGAAAGACGACAUCGAAUAAAAGCUACCGCGGGGAUAACAGGGUCAUCUAGUCCUAGAGUUCCCAUCGAAGACUGGGUUUGCCACCUCGAUGUGGAAAUUUAUUGAGA
rnacentral:rRNA from 1 species